rnacentral:rRNA from 1 species
GACGAACGCUGGCGGCGUGCCUAACACAUGCAAGUCGAGCGGAGAUGAUGUGAGGAAGUUUUCGGAUGGAAUCACAUUAUUUUAGCGACGGACGGGUGAGUAACGCGUGAGCGACCAACCUUGCACAGGGGGAUAACGGACCGAAAGGUUCACUAAUACCGCAUGAGACCACGGUGUUGCAUGACACAGGGGUCAAAGGAGGAAUCCGGUGCAAGACGGGCUCGCGUCCGAUUAGGUAGUUGGAGGGGUAACGGCCCACCAAGCCUAUGAUCGGUAGCCGACCUGAGAGGGUGAUCGGCCACAUUGGAACUGAGAUACGGUCCAAACUCCUACGGGAGGCAGCAGUGGGGAAUAUUGGGCAAUGGGGGAAACCCUGACCCAGCAACGCCGCGUGAAGGAAGAAGGUUUUCGGAUUGUAAACUUCUGUCCUUGGUGAAGAGAAGAAGACGGUAGCCAAGGAGGAAGCCCCGGCUAACUACGUGCCAGCCGCCGCCGAAA